UCCACUUCCCACGGCUGAGAUUUAAAGAAGAAAAGAUAAGGACUGCCAACCGACUCCACUAUCCAGGACACGCCAGAUCCUUUCUUAUCUUCUCACUUGUAUAAAUUGGGAGACCUCACCCAUUGUUGAGGCAGAACUUUUCUUAGCAUUUUUCUUUAGUAUUCUUCUUGUACCUCUCUCUGUAAAAUAUUUGAUAUAUAUAAAUCUGUGGUUUGAAGAUAUCCAAGACUCCUCUGUAAGUUUUAAUUAUUGCUUCCGUUAAUUAUUAUGUUUCCUUGCUUGAGCUUUUA
rnacentral:lncRNA from 1 species